rnacentral:misc_RNA from 1 species
UGCAAUGAUGAAAUCACUCACAAAUUCAAGGGAAAAACUGUUAUGAAUGAAAAGGAGCGAUAUGAAUCUUUGCGCCACUGCAGAUGGGUUGAUGAAGUUAUUCCAGAUGCGCCUUGGGUUGUAACCCCAGAGUUCAUUGAGAAACAUCGGAUUGACUAUGUGGCACAUGACGCUCUUCCUUAUGCGGAUGCAAGUGGAGCUGGAAAUGAUGUUUACGAGUAUGUUAAGUCCAUUGGUAAGUUCUUGGAGACCAAGCGGACUGAUGGAAUAUCUACUUCAGAUUUAAUAAUGAGGAUUGUAAAAGACUACAAUGAAUAUGUGAUGCGCAAUUUGGACAGAGGAUAUUCAAGAACGGAUCUUGGUCUGAGCUACGUGAAGGAAAAAAGGCUGAGAGUGAACAGGGGUUUGAAAAAGUUGCAUGAGAGAGUAAAGAAACAACAAGAGAAAGUGGAAGAGAAGGUAUAUUCUUAAGUAUUUGUCUGCUUUUCAUUUCUCUAUUUCGAAUACAAACUUGUCAGAAGAGUCUCCAAUCUCUAUGGAAUAUGUGGUUUUUGAAUAAAGUUUGGCAAUUAUCUGGAAAAAGCAAGGAAAAAGGAUAUUGAGAUCUAUGUCUUCUGUCAUUUAUGCAAAUUAUUUUUUUAAAAAGAAGGUAACCAUAUUUUAUAUAACCUAAAGAGUACAUAGAGAAACAUAGUUACAGGAACCCCCAAAAAAACAUAAACCAAUCACUUAACUAGUUACAAUGACCCAAUAAUGUCAACUACAUAAUCUCUAUAUCUUCU